AUUUUAAAAUCUCUCAGUAUUGAACAUUUGAACUCUCCAUUUCAAUGGAUCCUGCUGUGAUGUUCCUUGUGAAAAUUCACUGUUAAGACAAGUGUCAAGUCUCCUGAGAAGAUUGCCUGCUAUUGAAUCUGGGAAAUUUCAAGAUGAUUUCUUAAUGGUUUUGUUUACAUGUUGUAGAUCUUGAUCCAUCAUCUGUUACAUCUGGUGGCUGGCUGGAAGAUACUUCAUUGGUGAAAAAAUAUACAAUAUCUGAAGAAGCCUAUAAUAAGCGUGAAGGUGUGAUCCACCUUGCCCACUCCCUUAUUCUUCUUCUUUUAACUCUU